rnacentral:rRNA from 1 species
GAUUAUGGCUCAGGAUGAAUGCUGGCGGCAUGCCUAAUACAUGCAAGUCGAGCGGUAACAGGACUAGCUUGCUAGUGCUGACGAGCGGCGGACGGCUGAGUAACGCAUGGGAACGCACCCCAAACUGAGGGAUAACUAGUCGAAAGAUUAGCUAAUACCGCAUGUGAUCUUCGGAUUAAAGCCUUCGGGCGGUUUGGGAGCGGCCUGUGUACGAUUAGAUAGUUGGUGAGGUAAUGGCUCACCAAGUCGACGAUCGUUAGAUGGUUUGAGAGGAUGAUCAUCCAGACUGGAACUGAGACACGGUCCAGACUCCUACGGGAGGCAGCAGUAGGGAAUCUUUCACAAUGGGCGAAAGCCUGAAUGGAGCAAUGCCGCGUGCAGGACGAAGGCCUUCGGGUUGUAAACUGCUUUUAUAAGCGAGGAAUAUGACGGUAACUUAUGAAUAAGGAUCGGCUAACUACGUGCCAGCCGCCGC